rnacentral:rRNA from 1 species
UACGUAGGAUGCAAGCGUUGUCCGGAUUUACUGGGCGUAAAGCGUGUGCAGGCGGAAUGUUAGGUAGAUUGUGAAAGCCCCCGGCUUAACUGGGGAAGGUCAGUCUAAACCGGCAAUCUGGAAGCAAGCAGAGGGGUGUGGAAUUCCCGGUGUAGUGGUGAAAUGCGUAGAGAUCGGGAGGAACACCAGAGGCGAAGGCGACACCCUGGGCUUGGCUUGACGCUCAGACACGAAGGCGUGGGGAGCGAACAGG